rnacentral:lncRNA from 1 species
UGGGGAUUUAUAGAUAUAUGGUGGAGACUCAUAAACAUAUGGAGGGGGUAUAGGUUUGUAGUAGUAUGGAGGAGGUGGUGAUGGUGAGGGUGGAGGAGGUGACUCAUAAACAUAAGGUGGUGGUGGAGGGGAUUUGUAGACAUAUUGUGGAGGAGGAGGUGAUUCGUAAACAUAUGGAGGAGGUGGCGGUGACUUGUAGACAUAUGGUGGUGGAGGUGGCGACUUGUAUACAUAUGGUGGGGUGGUGAUGGAGAUGGUGGAGGAGGAGACUUGUAGACAUAUGGAGGUGGGGUGUACACAUAUGGUGGGGGAGGUGGCGACUUGUAGAUAUAUGGAGGAGGUGGUGAUGGUGGAGGAGGAGAUGGGUAAACAUAAGGUGGAGGAGGUGGUGACUUAUACACAUAUGGAGGAGGUGGGGGUGAUUUGUAGAUAUAUGGAGGAGGAGGCGAUGGUGGAGGAGGAGAUGGGUAAACAUAAGGUGGAGGAGGUGGUGAUUUGUAUACGUAUGGAGGAGGUGGUGAUGGUGGAGGAGGAGACGGGUAAACGUAAGGUGGAGGAGGUGGUGACUUGUACACAUAUGGAGGAGGUGGGGGUGACUUGUACACAUAUGGAGGAGGUGGUGAUGGUGGAGGAGGAGACGGGUAAACAUAAGGUGGAGGAGGUGGUGACUUGUACACGUAUGGAGGAGGUGGGGGUGACUUGUACACAUAUGGAGGAGGUGGCGGUGACUUGUAUACAUACGGAGGAGGUGGUGAUGGUGGAGGAGGAGACGGGUAAACGUAAGGUGGAGGAGGUGGUGACUUGUACACGUAUGGAGGAGGUGGGGGUGACUUGUAUACAUAUGGAGGUGGCGGUGAUGGUGGAGGAGGAGACGGGUAAACAUAAGGUGGAGGAGGUGGUGACUUGUACACAUAUGGAGGAGGUGGUGGUGAUUUAUAGACAUAAGGAGGUGGUGGUGAUGGAGAUGGUGGUGGUGGAGAUUUGUAGUAAUAUGGUGGUAAUUUGUAAUCAUAAGGAGGUGGCGGUGACGGGGGUGGAGGUUUAUAGUAAUUAUAUGGAGGGAACUUAUGGUCAUAUGGUGGUGGAGAUUUAUAGUUAUAUGGAG